AGCCACAGCCAUAUCACCCUGCAGCCCAAGACUGGUUGCCCACUGAAGCUAAGCAGGGUUGAGCCUGGUCAGUCUCAACCUCAUGGGAAAACUAGGUUGCUGUUGGAA
ensembl:rRNA 5S_rRNA 5S ribosomal RNA